rnacentral:rRNA from 1 species
GAUGAACGCUGGCGGCGUGCCUAAUACAUGCAAGUCGAGCGAACAGACGAGGAGCUUGCUCCUCUGACGUUAGCGGCGGACGGGUGAGUAACACGUGGAUAACCUACCUAUAAGACUGGGAUAACUUCGGGAAACCGGAGCUAAUACCGGAUAAUAUAUUGAACCGCAUGGUUCAAUAGUGAAAGACGGUUUUGCUGUCACUUAUAGAUGGAUCCGCGCCGCAUUAGCUAGUUGGUAAGGUAACGGCUUACCAAGGCGACGAUGCGUAGCCGACCUGAGAGGGUGAUAGGCCACACGGGAACUGAGACACGGUCCAGACUCCUACGGGAGGCAGCAGUAGGGAAUCUUCCGCAAUGGGCGAAAGCCUGACGGAGCAACGCCGCGUGAGUGAUGAAGGUCUUCGGAGCGUAAAACUCUGUUAUUAGGGAAGAACAAAUGUGUAAGUAACUAUGCACGUCUUGACGGUACCUAAUCAGAAAGCCACGGCUAACUACGUG